AUUGAACGCUGGCGGCAUGCUUUACACAUGCAAGUCGAACGGCAGCGCGGGCUUCGGCCUGGCGGCGAGUGGCGAACGGGUGAGUAAUACAUCGGAACGUGCCCAGUAGUGGGGGAUAGCUCGGCGAAAGCCGGAUUAAUACCGCAUACGACCUGAGGGUGAAAGCGGGGGAUCUUCGGACCUCGCGCUAUUGGAGCGGCCGAUGGCAGAUUAGCUAGUUGGUGGGGUAAAGGCCUACCAAGGCGACGAUCUGUAGCUGGUCUGAGAGGACGACCAGCCACACUGGGACUGAGACACGGCCCAGACUCCUACGGGAGGCAGCAGUGGGGAAUGUUGGGCAAUGGGCGAAAGCCUGAUCCAGCAAUGCCGCGUGUGUGAUGAAGGCCUUCGGGUUGUAAAGCACUUUUGGCGGGAACGAAAAGGACUGUGCCAAUACCACGGUUCGAUGACGGUACCCGCAGAAUAAGCACCGGCUAACUACGUG
rnacentral:rRNA from 1 species